AGAGCGAACGCUGGCGGCAGGCCUAACACAUGCAAGUCGAGCGCGUGUAGCAAUACACGAGCGGCAGACGGGAGAGUAACACGUGGGAACGCGCCCUUCGGUUCGGAAUAACUCAGGGAAACUUGAGCUAAUACCGGAUACGCCCUUACGGGGAAAGAUUUAUUGCCGAAGGAACGGCCCGCGUCCGAUUAGCUAGUUGGUGAGGUAACGGCUCACCAAGGCGACGAUCGGUAGCUGGUCUGAGAGGAUGACCAGCCUCACUGGGACUGAGACACGGCCCAGACUCCUACGGGAGGCAGCAGUGGGGAAUAUUGGACAAUGGGCGCAAGCCUGAUCCAGCCAUGCCGCGUGGAUGAUGAAGGCCUUAGGGUUGUAAAGUCCGUUUAACGGGAAGAUAAUGACGGUACCGUAGAAUAAGCCCCGGCUAACUUCGCGCCAGCAGCCGC
rnacentral:rRNA from 1 species